GCCGGGCGCGGUGGCUCGCGCCUGUAAUCCCAGCACUUUGGGAGGCCGAGGCGGGUGGAUCGCCUGAGGUCAGGAGUUCGAGACCAGCCUGACCAACAUGGUGAAAUCCCCUCUCUA
rnacentral:sRNA from 1 species